rnacentral:rRNA from 1 species
UCAGUCUAGCUCAGAUUGAACGCUGGCAGGAUGCUACGCGCGUACAGUCGAACGGCAGCGGACUUCAGAGAUGCAGGUGGCGAUGGCGAACAGGUGAGAGUAAUGCUUGUCGGAACGUGCCUGAUAGCGGGGAUAACUGCGCGCGAAAGCGCUAAUACCGCCGCGCUAAGGAAAGCAGGACAUGGGCCUCUGCACUGUGCGAAACGGCAAUAUCGGAUUAGCUGCGUUGCGUUGAGAUGGCUCCACCAGGCGGCAAAUCGCCAGCUACAGUUCCGAGGACGACAAGCCACACUGGGACUUCAGGAACUUGGCUUCCAGACUCACUGCAGGAGGCAGCGAGCCGAGAGGUACGGACUCAUCCCAGGGAAACCGGUCAAUAUCCCGCAUCGCCCGCGUGAAGGCCUUCGGUUCGCCAAAAGCACUUUUGGCAGAAAAGCCGGCACGGAUAGCCACCUUGCAGCGAUGACCUGCAGGAAUAACGCAAACUAACUACAGUACAAUAAGCCGCCGGUAAUACAUAGUUGCAGCAUUAAUCAGAAUUUUACCUGAGCGUAAAGCGGCGCGGCGGUUCGGAAGAAGAUAAUAGUCCGGGCUAGCGGAGAUUGUGCACCACUACAGGCUGGAAUAUGUCGGGUGGUGCGUAUAACGGUGGUAAUGCGAUCUGCAGAGGGCACCGAUGGCGACAACCUCCUGGGUUAACGCAACGCUCUUGCAGCGUGGGAGCAAACAGGAUUAGAUACCCUGGUAGUCCACGCCCUAAACGAUGUCAACUAGCUGUUGAGGCCUUCGGGCCUUGGUAGCGCAGCUAGCAUAAGUUGUUGACCGCACGCCUGGGGAGAGUACGGUCGCAAGAUUAAAACUCAAGGAAUUGACGAGGACCGCACAAGCGGUGGAUGAUGUGGAUUAAUUCGAUGCAGCGCGCGAAAGACCUUACCUACCCCCUUGACAUGUCUGGAAUCCCGAAGGGUUGGGAGUGCUCAAACAAGAGAACCGGAACACAGGUGCUGCAUAGCUGUCGUGCAGCUCGUGUCGUGAGAUGUUGGGUUAAGUCCGCAACAGCGCGAACCCUUGUCAUUUAAGUUGCUACGAAGGGAGCACUCUAAUGAGACUGCCGGUGACAAACCGGAGGAAGGUGGGGAUGACGUCGAGUCCUCAUAUUACAUGGGUAGGGCUUCACACGUCAUACAAUGGUCAGCAGAGGGUCGCCAACCCGCGAGGGGGAACCAAUCCCAGAAACCCGAUCGUAGUCCGGAUCGCAGUCUGCCAACUCGACUGCGUGAAGUCGGAAUCGCUAGUAAUCGCGGAUCCAGCAUGUCGCGGUGAAUACGUUCCCGGGUCUUAUACACACCGCCCGUACACCAUGGGAGUGGGUUUUACAGAAGUAGUUAGCCUAACCGUAAGGGAGGGCGAUUACCACGGUAGGAUUCAUGACUGGGGGUGAAGUCGUAACAAGGUAA